CAUUUGGGAGGUGAUAUAGGACAGGAUGCUCCAAAGUUGCUUAGCGUGCCUCAGGGCACAAUAACACCUUUUGUCUUGCCUGAAACCAGCAGCAGAGUUACUUCAAAAAAAGAGGAAGAAAAAAUCUUCAGCUUGUUGCCAAGGAACUGAAAUAGUGUCCCAUAGCAUCUUGGAAGCAAAGUAGGAGGCUGUUGGAGUUUUGCCUAGUAUGUCCUGACCUGAGUGUAAGAUUUUGAAGUAAAGCCCCAACUUCCCUGCUUCCUAAAGAAGUGUUCGGUGUGCUUCAGAAGGGCAACAAAAGGGAAAACAUUCAGAACAGCUGGAGGAAGUCUGAAAAGCCAGGACUACUUUGACAGUUGGAAGCAUUCCUGAAAGAUUUAUCUCACAUCACUUCUUAGCUCCAGAAUUAAAAUGUGCUUGAAAUACAGGAUUUACUUUUCUGCUUUCUGCCCUCCUUGCUAAAAAGAACAACUAUAAUUCUUUCACCAUUGUAUCCUUCUACGUUCACUACCAACCAAAUAACCUGUUGGUUUCUGUCUUGACUAAAGACGUAAGAAAUAUACAACAUACAAGAGAUUAGCAACUGGAUUUUUAUGUAAUGUAGACAUUCUAAUAACAUGAAAUUCACGAAGUUUGGACUGAAGUUUCUUGGAUGAGAAGUGAAACAUCUUCAAGGAAAAACAAAGAAAGUCCAGUUGCCUUUU